GACGAACGCUGGCGGCGUGCUUAACACAUGCAAGUCGAACUGAAAGGCCCCUUUGGGGGUACUCGAGUGGCGAACGGGUGAGUAACACGUGAGUAACCUGCCCUUGACUUCGGGAUAACUUCAGGAAACUGGGGCUAAUACCGGAUAGGAAUCCUUGCUGCAUGGUGGGGGUUGGAAAGCUUCGGCGGUUUUGGAUGGACUCGCGGCUUAUCAGCUUGUUGGUGGGGUAGUGGCUUACCAAGGCUUUGACGGGUAGCCGGCCUGAGAGGGCGACCGGCCACAUUGGGACUGAGAUACGGCCCAGACUCCUACGGGAGGCAGCAGUGGGGAAGAUUGCACAAUGGGCGGAAGCCUGAUGCAGCAACGCCGCGUGCGGGAUGACGGCCUUCGGGUUGUAAACCGCUUUCAGCAGGGGCGAAGCUUGUGGUGACGGUACCUGCAGAAGAAGCACCGGCUAACUACGUG
rnacentral:rRNA from 1 species